CGCUGUGAAGAUGCAGUGUACCCGCGGCAAGACGGAAAGACCCCGUGAACCUUUACUAUAGCUUGACACUGAACAUUGAGCCUUGAUGUGUAGGAUAGGUGGGAGGCUUUGAAGUGUGGACGCCAGUCUGCAUGGAGCCGACCUUGAAAUACCACCCUUUAAUGUUUGAUGUUCUAACGUUGACCCGUAAUCCGGGUUGCGGACAGUGUCUGGUGGGUAGUUUGACUGGGGCGGUCUCCUCCUAAAGAGUAACGGAGGAGCACGAAGGUUGGCUAAUCCUGGUCGGACAUCAGGAGGUUAGUGCAAUGGCAUAAGCCAGCUUGACUGCGAGCGUGACGGCGCGAGCAGGUGCGAAAGCAGGUCAUAGUGAUCCGGUGGUUCUGAAUGGAAGGGCCAUCGCUCAACGGAUAAAAGGUACUCCGGGGAUAACAGGCUGAUACCGCCCAAGAGUUCAUAUCGACGGCGGUGUUUGGCACCUCGAUGUCGGCUCAUCACAUCCUGGGGCUGAAGUAGGUCCCAAGGGUAUGGCUGUUCGCCAUUUAAAGUGGUACGCGAGCUGGGUUUAGAACGUCGUGAGACAGUUCGGUCCCUAUCUGCCGUGGGCGCUGGAGAACUGAGGGGGGCUGCUCCUAGUACGAGAGGACCGGAGUGGACGCAUCACUGGUGUUCGGGUUGUCAUGCCAAUGGCACUGCCCGGUAGCUAAAUGCGGAAGAGAUAAGUGCUGAAAGCAUCUAAGCACGAAACUUGCCCCGAGAUGAGUUCUCCCUGACUCCUUGAGAGUCCUGAAGGAACGUUGAAGACGACGACGUUGAUAGGCCGGGUGUGUAAGCGCAGCGAUGCGUUGAGCUAACCGGUACUAAUGAACCGUG
rnacentral:rRNA from 1 species